rnacentral:rRNA from 1 species
UACGGGGGGAGCAAACGUUGUUCGGAAUCACUGGGCGUAAAGGGAGCGUAGGCGGCCAUGUAAGUGAGGUGUUAAAUCCCCCGGCUCAACCGGGGACCUGCACCUCAUACUGCACGGCUUGAGUACAUCAGAGGAGACUGGAAUUCCCGGUGUAGCGGUGAAAUGCGUAGAUAUCUGGAGGAACACCGGUGGCGAAGGCGGCAUCCUGGACCGGUAUUGACGCUGAGGCGCGAAAGCGUGGGGAGCGAACCGG